rnacentral:rRNA from 1 species
CUCCGGUUGAUCCUGCCGGACCCGACUGCUAUCAGAGUGGGACUAAGCCAUGCGAGUCAACAUAGCAAUAUGUGGCAUACGGCUCAGUAACACGUAGUCAACAUGCCCAGGGGACGUGGAUAACCUCGGGAAACUGAGGAUAAACCGCGAUAGGUCAUCACUUCUGGAAUGGGUAAUGACUUAAAUCUAUAUGGCCCCUGGAUUGGACUGCGGCCGAUCAGGCUGUUGGUGAGGUAAUGGCCCACCAAACCUGUAACCGGUACGGGCUCUGAGAGGAGGAGCCCGGAGAUGGGCACUGAGACAAGGGCCCAGGCCCUAUGGGGCGCAGCAGGCGCGAAACCUCUGCAAUAGGCGAAAGCUUGACAGGGUUACUCUGAGUGAUUUCCGUUAAGGAGAUCUUUUGGCACCUCUAAAAAUGGUGCAGAAUAAGGGGUGGGCAAGUCUGGUGUCAGCCGCCGCGGUAAUACCAGCACCCCGAGUGGUCGGGAUGUUUAUUGGGCCUAAAGCAUCCGUAGCCGGUUCUACAAGUCUUCCGUUAAGUCCACCUGCUUAACAGAUGGGCUGCGGAAGAUACUAUAGAGCUAGGAGGCGGGAGAGGCAAGCGGUACUCGAUGGGUAGGGGUAAAAUCCGUUGAUCCAUUGAAGACCACCAGUGGCGAAGGCGGCUUGCCAGAACGCGCUCGACGGUGAGGGAUGAAAGCUGGGGGAGCAAACCGGAUUAGAUACCCGGGUAGUCCCAGCUGUAAACGAUGCAGACUCGGUGAUGAGUUGGCUUAUUGCUAACUCAGUGCCGCAGGGAAGCCGUUAAGUUUGCCGCCUGGGGAGUACGGUCGCAAGACUGAAACUUAAAGGAAUUGGCGGGGGAGCA